rnacentral:lncRNA from 1 species
CAGAGGCUUGCGUCCCAAUGGUCCCUGCUGAAAAUAGAUCAAUUACUUCCUGUUUCUCUCUCUACCCGCUAGAAGGCAGACGGUGAAAGCUGCCCGUCUCGUUAUGUGACACAGUGCUAAUUGAACUAUUAGUUAGAAAGAACAGCGGGGAGGUGUUCAGAGCACACUAUGAACACAGAGGACACAGAUGUACAGCAAACAGCAGAGAUAAGACCUCCACUAUAUGGGCUAGAGUGGAGCAAACAGCAGAGAUAAGACCUCCACUAUAUGGGCUAGAGUGGAGCAAACAGCAGAGAUAAGACCUCCACUAUAUGGGCUAGAGUGGAGCAAACAGCAGAGAUAAGACCUCCACUAUAUGGGCUAGAGUGGAGCAAACAGCAGAGAUAAGACCUCCACUAUAUGGGCUAGAGUGGAGCAAACAGCAGAGAUAAGACCUUCACCUUAUGGGCUAUAGUGGAGCAACCAUAUGGACUGGACAGGAUCACAGCAGCAUCUUUAUACAGGUCAUGUGUUACAGUGAGUGUAGGCCUACACAACCCUCAGAGAACAAUGGUGAUUGAUGUUAUCUAGGAAAUGAAUAUUUAAUUAAAGUAAAUUCCAUUUGUAGCUCUACACUGUAAACCUAGCUCAGUAUUACAACUCUCUGGCCUAUAGAGACCAAUUCUGCUAAAUAUAUUAUCACACCAUUUUAUUUAUUCAAACAUUUCAGUUCUGAAUGCAGUAAUCUUUGACUGUAACACUGUUAGGUCACCCAGCUUGGUCAAGCUCAACUGUUUUGCUCAGUCUCUCCUGGUCUGGCAGGAAUCUCUGGUUUACCUAGAUAAGUUAUUCCACUCUGAAGCCCAGUGUAAAUUAGUCAGCCAAAGCAAACAUACCACCUCCAUCUCCAGGGAAACACACCACCUCCAUCUCCA